UGGGGAGGUCCGGAAAUGUAAAGGGGCAGAUAUGUCUGGUUAACGUAAAGUCCGGUUACAGGUGGUAAAAAGUCAUGAUCAGGUGAAAUGAGUCCAGAUAGGAAAGAAAGACCAGUCGAAUAUCGAGGAAGAGCAGAUGCAAAACAUCUGCCUCUCCAAGGAUUCUCGUCUGAUGUCAUGGGUGGAAGAAACAGAUGGCAGUCGACAAAGUUAAUGUCGAAUCCCAUCUGUUUCUUCCACCCCGAGAAUCCUUCUCGAUAGCGGCUAUUCAACUAUCGCGAACAACAGUUGAAAAGCCGCCGACAGGUGUCGAGCACCCAGUUGGAUGGAGGACUGGGCUCGACUGGUAUCUCGUAGACGUGCACCAACGGCUCGGCGAAGGUGACGCGCCGAGAAUUCGAAUGACCCUGGUCAUUCGAAUUUCUGCGAGAUGCGAGCAUCUCGUCACCUUGGCUGCAUCCCUCUGAUUCGAUUUCUGCCCCAGACAAGAUGCUGUUGACAGAAAGCGAAUCAGAACGAACAGGAGAAAGUGCCUCCUGUUCCUUCUGAGCGAGGGAUGAGACGCCCAGCCGGGGGAAACGGGAAGAUGGUGCCGCCUUUUCCUUCUGAACGAGGGACGAGAUCCCCAUCCGAGGAAAGCGAGAAGGUUGCUUGCAAACGAGGGACGAGAUGCCCAUCCGAGGAAAGUCACCACCUCGUCGCGUGAUUAAGACGCGAGGAGGUAGUGCCGCCUGUUCGUUGUCAACGAGGGAGGAGGUGCCUAAUCGAGGGAAGCGAUCACCUCGUCGCCUUCCUCCAGUGUCGCUUUGGGUCACGAUAUCCGAGAAGCGGACUUCAUGGACACCGUGGCCCAAAGCGCCCGACCCUGGGGCCGUCGUCUGCCUUCUUCGACGUCUUCGUAGCCAGGGAAACCACUGUUCGAAUCAAAUCAAUAUUAAAUAUUAUGCAGUUAACAGGAAAUUUCUGAUUUUACUUACACGGGUCAUUCCAUAUAAAAUCAGCCAAAUCUAAAUAAAGUGGUUGCUGC
rnacentral:lncRNA from 1 species